rnacentral:rRNA from 1 species
AUGGCUUAACCAUUAAACUGCUUGGGAAACUGAUAGUCUAGAGUGAGGGAGAGGCAGAUGGAAUUGGUGGUGUAGGGGUAAAAUCCGUAGAUAUCACCAAGAAUACCCAUUGCGAAGGCGAUCUGCUGGAACUCAACUGACGCUAAGGCGCGAAAGCGUGGGGAGCAAACAGGAUUAGAUACCCUGGUAGUCCACGCCCUAAACGAUGUACACUAGUUGUUGGGGUGCUAGUCAUCUCAGUAAUGCAGCUAACGCAUUAAGUGUACCGCCUGGGGAGUACGGUCGCAAGAUUAAAACUCAAAGGAAUAGACGGGGACCCGCACAAGCGGUGGAGCAUGUGGUUUAAUUCGAAGAUACGCGAAGAACCUUACCUGGGCUUGAUAUCCUAAGAACCUUUUAGAGAUAAGAGGGUGCUAGCUUGCUAGAACUUAGAGACAGGUGCUGCACGGCUGUCGUCAGCUCGUGUCGUGAGAUGUUGGGUUAAGUCCCGCAACGAGCGCAACCCACGUAUUUAGUUGCUAACGGUUCGGCCGAGCACUCUAAAUAGACUGCCUUCGUAAGGAGGAGGAAGGUGUGGACGACGUCAAGUCAUCAUGGCCCUUAUGCCCAGGGCGACACACGUGCUACAAUGGCAUAUACAAUGAGACGCAAUACCGCGAGGUGGAGCAAAUCUAUAAAAUAUGUCCCAGUUCGGAUUGUUCUCUGCAACUCGAGAGCAUGAAGCCGGAAUCGCUAGUAAUCGUAGAUCAGCCAUGCUACGGUGAAUACGUUCCCGGGUCUUGUACUCACCGCCCGUCACACCAUGGGAGUUGAUUUCACUCGAAGCCGGAAUACUAAACUAGUUACCGUCCACAGUGGAAUCAGCGACUGGGGUGAAGUCGUAACAAGGUAACCGUAGGAGAACCUGCGGUUGGAUCACCUCCUUU